GAUGAACGCUGGCGGCGUGCCUAAUACAUGCAAGUCGAGCGAACAGACGAGGAGCUUGCUCCUCUGACGUUAGCGGCGGACGGGUGAGUAACACGUGGAUAACCUACCUAUAAGACUGGGAUAACUUCGGGAAACCGGAGCUAAUACCGGAUAAUAUAUUGAACCGCAUGGUUCAAUAGUGAAAGACGGUUUUGCUGUCACUUAUAGAUGGAUCCGCGCCGCAUUAGCUAGUUGGUAAGGUAACGGCUUACCAAGGCGACGAUGCGUAGCCGACCUGAGAGGGGGAACGCACAAGCAGGAAGUGGAGAGCAGGCCACACACCUACGGGAAGGAGCAGAAGGGUAGGUAGCGCAAUAGGCGAGAGCCUAACGGAGCAACGCCGCGCAAGGGAAGAAGUGAUGCGGAUCGAAAUAAUCAGUUAUCGGGGAAGAAGAGAUGUGGAAGUAACUAUGGACGUCUUGACGGUAAGGAGUCAGAAAGCGACGGCAAACUACGUG
rnacentral:rRNA from 1 species